GAAAGUCCAGAUACAAAGGGGAUAUUUUUCACCCUUCCUGACAGCAGUUGACUUGCUAAGAACACAGUCAACUGCCUCUUCAAGUCCAGCAAUAGAGUACAACGUCACAGAGGCUGGAUUGCUUGGGGCGUUACGAAGGUGUGUAACCCACAGCGAAGGCACAUUGCUAACACCGAUGAAUGCUGAGUAGAAUACAGACAGUGGGACGUUGGGGUUUCCUGGCUGUAAAUAGAGCACUGCAUGAAAUUGCCGCUUUAAACACUUCCUCUGUGUAUGAAGCUCAUCCGUUGGAUCGCCACUUAUUUCAUUUAUAUAGGCAUAUCAGUUGUUUCCAAUGUAUUUUCAAGGAAACAUGCUGACAGCAUCAGGCAGAGCCAGGAACACAGUGGGUAUGAAGUGAGUUCGGAUCCUUGAACAGGCCAAGCCUGUCUGCAAGCUGGAAUGUUGGAAAAGUCUCCUCCCAGCCAACUGACCCUGCCUUCGUGCCGGUAACCCAAGGCUGAGCACAGAGUUGCCAAAGCUCCCUCUGUUUCCCACAAGAGAUGGCCUCUCCACUUCAAGAUUCAUUUGAGCCUGAAUUUGGUGGUAGCCCUGAAGAAUAUUCCUGAAUUUGGCCGCUUUCUGUGUGUUUUUCUCUCCUCCUCUACUGUUGCACACCAGGCAAGUGCUGCACUGCUGAUCUGUACCCCAGCUCCCUUUUAAUUUAUUUUAAUAUCGAUUGAUUGAUUUUGGGGAAAGUACUCAUUGAAUCUCCCAGGCUGGCCUAGAAUUUGCUUUGUAGUCCAAGUGGGCCUUGAACUUUUAAUUCUCCCAAGUAGCUGGGCUAACAGGUCUGUUGCAACCCUGGCUCCUAUGUGAACUGAAGGAGGUUGAAUGGGUCAUCCUUGACUGGACCAAGCUCAGGAGAAGCUGCUGAGGCCUGAGAGACAGCGGACUGUCCUCUGAAGCUUCCAGGAUUAGAAGGAGAAGAGACCAGAGCAUGGGGUUAGUGCAGUGUGAUGGUGCCUCAGAGUCUUGCUGGGUGUUUGGGAGCAAAAGGAUGGUGAGCAGCUUGUGUGUCGGACAGUAGAGGUUGGCUGGGAAGGUAAUAAAAGGAGUCCACACCUUCCUCACUGGUGCGUUACAGAAAAGGUCAAGGCAAUGUGUAACGGGCAAUGUAAAACGAGUAAAAG